rnacentral:rRNA from 1 species
AUUGAACGCUGGCGGCAGGCCUAACACAUGCAAGUCGAGCGGAGCGGCGGACGGGUGAGUAAUGCCUAGGAAUCUGCCUGGUAGUGGGGGAUAACGUCAGGAAACGGGCGCUAAUACCGCAUAAUAUCAGAUGAGCCAAGGUCGGAGGAGCUAGUUGGUGGGGUAAAGGCCUACCAAGGCGACGAUCCGUAACUGGUCUGAGAGGAUGAUCAGUCACACUGGAACUGAGACACGGUCCAGUCUCCGUGCGUAGGCAGCAGUGGGGAAGUGUGGACAAUGGGCGAAGGCCUUAUCCAGCCAUGCCGCGUGUGUGAAUAAGGUCUGCGGAUUGUAAAGCACUUUAAGUUGGGAGGCGUUACCAACAGAAUAAGCACCGGCUAACUUCGUGCCAGCAGCCGCGGUAAUUC